UAAAAAGGCUGUAUGUUUACAUCGUUCACAUUUCAGCAUCACUUGGAGAGCUGGCUUUAGAACUCCCUGCCUCAUACACACUGGGUCAUCAUCUGCACACUACAGUUGAGGAAUCCCGGUCUGAAGGCCAAUUACCUGCCAUACCUGGGUUUCCAGCUGGCAUCCUUCGGACAAAGGCCUUCCCACCGUUACCCUGACUCCAAUGACAUCUCUGGUGCGGUGGGGGCCGCGGCGCUGAAGAGUCCUUUGGUUAAGGGCGCUGUUUUCUCCUAUGUGAGGAGGUAAGCUGGCCUGUUCCUUGCCUGUUUGCUGAAGGGCCUUCUGUGGACCAUUACUCCUUAUAUCAGCAAAAGAAAAAGUGAAUUAUCGACGAUGGGAGCUAUUGAGGCAAAUCUUGGCAACCAAUCCACUCAGCUUGAGAAAAGUCGGGCUACCAUCUGAGAGCCGCGUUGUACCCUACGUUUUGUGUCUUUGUGCACCAGACUAGCUGCUCCAGCCGCGUGGGCUCUGGCGAAAUUUUCUUCGAUGUAAGUGACCACCUCCUCCUGGCGCCCUUAAGUAAUUCAUGCUUCUCCACCUGAGCACAGUAGUUAACCGUCUUAGGGACUGCCGAAAGGGAACUGUUUACUCGACCCGACUCGGACUUUAUAAGAGUAUUUCCUCAAGACCGGUGGCGUUCGCGCAGAAAGAAGGGGCAGGAGGAGGGGUAGAGGAGCCGCGGUGGCUCUACAGAACUGCUGGGAGUGGGGUGGGGCGAGGGAGCCGGACCUGGAGACGGGUGAGAGAAUCAGGAAGAAAGGCAGCCUUAAGUGAGCUGCAGGUCACAUCCCCGACCUUCCCCAGGAAACACCAGCGCCUGCCCGGCCCCAGCUUCCCUACCCACCCUCACCCGGCUCCCAGAGCACACUUAUCCAAGGAAAAUCAUCGUAAUGUCUGAGAACAAGGGAGAAAAUAUGAAGGUACAAACGCUCACGAAAUACAGCAAAUUCCUCACCAGGAGGCGAGGAGGCACGGAAGUGCCAACAGAGCAGAAGACACGGGGAAAGCUGUCAGAAGCGAAACUGGAGCUGGUCUUUGUGGUCAGGACAGGGUCUCCUCUAGCCCUGACAUGACCAUGGGUCAUCAUGGAGUAGACACGCUGUGGACACCUGAAGGACGAACGACUCUAGAUUUGCAGUAUCGGUAAUGGGGCUGUUAUAUUCCCUCAUAGGAAGGAGGAUAAUUGCAUAACCUCCUUGGGGUUCCUACUGGAGUAAACAGGGAGUGGAAGGCUGGCUGGAGGCGGGGACACCCAUGAUGGAGCUCUCCUGAGUUAUCAUCCAUGCUGAGUUGGAACUUUUUGAUAACUGCGGAUUCACCCAUGAUCCUCUACGUAACCCCUUCCCAAGACCUGUCAGUAAUUCCAGUAAACUUAUUGGCUCACUAAUGUGAACCUGGAGGAAUUAUUUCUUCUAUAUUGUUGUGUCUUGAUUGGACAGAUAGACAUUUCUUCACAUCCUGGGAAGUCACACCAUGCCUUUGUUCAGCCCUAACCAAAAAUAUAUAAUUGUGGAGCAGGUGUGCCAGGUGAGGACUAUCUCAAAAGACUCCACCAGGAGGACAGCCCUGCAGAGAGGGUCCUGCCACCACACAGAGGGUCCUGCCACCACACAGAGGGUCCUGCCGCCACACAGAGGGUCCUGCCAUCACACAGAGGGUC